rnacentral:rRNA from 1 species
UACGUAGGGUGCGAGCGUUGUCCGGAAUUAUUGGGCGUAAAGGGCUCGUAGGCGGUUUGUCGCGUCGGGAGUGAAAUCAUCUGGCUUAACUGGGUGCUUGCUUUCGAUACGGGCAGACUAGAGGUAUGCAGGGGAGAACGGAAUUCCUGGUGUAGCGGUGAAAUGCGCAGAUAUCAGGAGGAACACCGGUGGCGAAGGCGGUUCUCUGGGCCUGACCUGACGCUGAGGAGCGAAAGCGUGGGGAGCGAACAGG